UGUUUCCAAGGGAAAUUUCGCCAAUGC
rnacentral:sRNA from 1 species